rnacentral:rRNA from 1 species
UUGUGGCCCAUUGAUGCUCAUCGGAUCCUCGCGAUCCCUCUCCCACAAUAUGACAUGACGGAUUUUAUUGCUUGGAAUUACACUAAGAAUGGGAUCUUUUCUGUUCGCUCCGCCUAUGUCGUUGAGUGGAAUCACCAAUACGGAAGGAAACUUAGCCGAUCUAACGGAUUGGGACGAACAAAUUUUAACCCAAUUUGGCAUAAGAUCUCGAACUUAUCUUGCCCAGCAAAGGUUAAAAAAUUUAUUUGGAGGGCGUUGCAUGGCACUCUCCCGUGCCGUGUUACACUAGUCAAUAGACAUAUGAAAGUUUCGCCAAUUUGUCCUUCGUGUUCGUCUGGGCAAGAAGAUACGAAACAUUUGUUGUUCCAGUGCCAGAAAGCUAAGGAGGUGUGGAGAAGACUUGGUUUGGAUGAAGUUAUUUCUAGUGCUUGUGAAGUUGAUUAUGCUGGUGAGGCUGUCCUGGAAUUCUUAUUGCAAUUGCCAAACCAAGAUUUAGCUAUUUUGGGAACCCAGAAUACGCGUGAGAUGAUUGCCAUCAUGACGUCAUAUUUAUGGUGGGAAAGACGUAAACUUAUGCACUAG